rnacentral:rRNA from 1 species
CCUACGGGUGGCAGCAGUAGGGAAUUUUCGUCAAUGGGCGCAAGCCUGAACGAGCAAUGUCGCGUGAGCGAGGAAGGUCUUCUGAUCGUUAAGUUCUGUUUAUGGGGAAAAAGAGCGGAGGGAGGAAAUGCUUUCUGAUUGAUAUUACCCUUCGAGGAAGUCACGGCUAACUACGUCCCAGUAGCCGCGGUAAUACGUAGGUGGCGAGCGUUAUCCGGAAUGAUUGGGGGGAAAGGGUGCGUAGGCGGCGUGCUAAGUCUGGAGUGAAAGGUACCGGCUCAACCCGUGCAGGCCGUGGAAACUGGGGGGCUAGAGAGAACGAGAGGGAGGUGGAAUGCGAUGUGUAGCGGUAAAAUGCGUAGAUA